UAUAUUAUCUUUUCGAAAAAUUAUUUUCUAUAUAUGUAAAUAAGGUUACGAAUCAUUAACAACAUUCGUUAAAGCAUUACAUUUCGUUUUGUUCUACUUUAACGAUCUAUCGUCGACUUUUUCAAACAAAUAUUUUCUCUUACAUUACCUAUCAAGCUUUUCCUAUCACGAAAAUCUGCAAAACGAUUUUCUUGUGAUGGUGUCAUGGAGCGCCAUUGAAGUUUCAUAUUGAAACCUCAUAACGUAAGGACGGAGAUAUACCCUAAGAGUUUAGAAAACAUUAUUGCAGCUGACAUCAUCAUACAGAAGAAUAUUUGAAGUGGAUAAAAUAUACAGACCCCACGAAAUAUGAUUUCUUUAACGGCAUCUGAAUCAACAAUUCUUCCUUCUGAAUCCUUACUUUUGUCCCAUUGUUCUUGUGUUAAAGAUACUGGUGGAUGAUGGACAUCAAUUGUAAAGGAAGAGUUAAACAAAUCUGCUACUGCUUCUUCAACCGGUCUUCUUGCUGGUUCCUUAUAUACUGAAAUAUAUAAUUAGAUUAAUAUGUCAUAUUUUAUUGAAAUAUUUACAAUAAGUAUGAAUUUUGAUGUAUUUUACUUACACCAAAUGUCCGCUAAUUUGCUAAAUGCUUCUAGCGUAGUCUCAUAUGGACGGUUGUGUAAAUUCUUCAUAAAUUUCCAUACAUAAUCCGAAGUAUUUUCUUGAAAUAAAUUCAAUUCUGCGAAUGAUUUGUUUAAAACAGUUUCAACCUCAUCCAAUACAUGAUACAAAUUUUUGUCUUUCGGUGAUCUUCUAAAGUUAAUAAAAUUCUUUAAAGAAUUAGUAAAGGUUUCAGCUUUCGACAAUUGGAAGAAGGCAACAUAGGUGGUACCAUCCCUUUGUAUAAAUAUAAGCUGUUGUCCUCCAUGAUUUACACGAAAUGAUUUUAAGUCAGAGAAUAAUAUUCUAACGAUUCUCGAACGUCCAAGAGAAUCUGGACCAUCGGAAGAUGUACGAGUUCUUCUUGUAUGGGUGUCUACUAAAGACCAUUCCGGAUCUUGAUCCUGAUUCUCUAACACGACUGAAUCUUCUACAGGUUUCCAUUCUAUGCACUUUCCAAAACUCUAACGCAUAAAAGAUAACAUAUGAUUCUUGCAUAUUAAAAAAAAUUUAUAUUAUAUACAUUUUAUACGCAUGCAUAUAAAUUGAUAAUAAUAGAUUAUUCUUUUCUUACAUAUUCUACAAUGUUCAGAGUGCCAGAGCUGUGAACUUCGUCUUCUUUGCUAUUAGAUCUACGAAGUACAACCCCUGCGUAGAUGCAGAGAUCCUAGAAAGAAAGCAGCAUUUCGAUAAUGAAGGAAAAAAAUGCUUCAUUUCUAAUCAGUCUGCUGUUCAUAUUGCUGAUCAAAAAACGUAAUCGUUUGCGUACACUUAACUACAUGGAAAAAAAGCGAGCUAACCUAUACGCAGUGUUUACAGUAUUAAAAUAUGAAGCAUAGGAUAAAAAAGUUUUGAUCGAAUAUUCGAAACGUAUAAAAAUAAUUGAACUUAAAUGAAACAUUAACAAAAAUAUCAAGUCUUAUGAUCCGUUCGUAUACGUUUUUUGUCUAUAAUACAUUGUUGUUGACAUUUGAUAGGGGAAACAUGUGGGCGGGUAAUGUUCGAUGUACGUCAUUCUCGAAUUAGACGUGCUGCCUGAAUUUCAUGCAGUUUAUACGACGUUGAUAUGAGAGCGUGUGUUGAAAAGAUGACGGUUGAAAAUUCAUGAAUAUUAUUUUCUCACCA